rnacentral:rRNA from 1 species
UCGAGGAUCUUCGGCAAUGGGCGAAAGCCUGACCGAGCGACGCCGCGUGCGGGAUGAAGGCCUUCGGGUUGUAAACCGCUGUCGUAGGGGAGGAAAUGCAGGAGGGUUCUCCCUCCUGUUUGACCUAUCCUAGGAGGAAGUACGGGCUAAGUUCGUGCCAGCAGCCGCGGUAAGACGAACCGUACAAACGUUACUCGGAAUUACUGGGCUUAAAGGGUGCGUAGGCUGCGCGGAAAGUUGGGUGUGAAAGCCCUCAGCUCAACUGGGGAAUUGCAUUCAAAACUACCGUGCUCGAGGGAGACAGAGGUGAGCGGAACUCAAGGUGGAGCGGUGAAAUGCGUUGAUAUCUUGAGGAACACCGGUGGCGAAGGCGGCUCACUGGGUCUUUUCUGACGCUGAGGCACGAAAGCCAAGGUAGCAAACGGG